rnacentral:lncRNA from 10 species
CUCCUGCUCUGGAGUGCGCCGCAGGUGAGGCGGGGAGUCCGCCUGACCCGCAGCCCGAUCCCCAUCAGCGACUAUGUAUUAAGCAUCUAUGUACCACGGCCCAAGCCAGGCCCUGGGACCAAAUGAGGAAAAAACCUACCGCCCUUCCUGGCCGAGCUCCCAGCCUAGUGGAGGCGGUGGCCGUGGGUUCCAACAGCCCCACAGAUAGAAAAAUCACAAAGCGUGAUAACACAAAGUGCAGGAAAGAAAGAACGGCGGUGAAAUGAGAUCAUCUCACACGCGGCCCAGUUUAGCUUAGAGUCCUGUUCCUAGCUCUUUGAUUCCUCUUCAAAUAAAAUGUUAAAGCAUGGACAAUGUGUGAAUAUGUUAGAACAAUUUUAGAUAUUAUCAUAAGCAGUAGCUAAUAUUUAUUGGGUGUGUACCACGUGUCAGAUACGGUUUCACUUCCUCUGGGAGGGAGGUGCUGUUAUUAAGCCCAUUUUACAGAUAAAGAAACUGAGACACAGGGAGGUAAAGUCACUUUGUUCAAGAUCACUCAAAUGGAAGAUGGGGGGUUCUGGGUUUCCAACCCAGGCCAUCUCAUGACAAUCUGCCAAGUCCCCUUGACUAUCCCUCCCUUACCAACUUCACAUCCCUGCCCCCAAAUCCGCGGAGGUACUCACUGUUAACCGGCUUGGAAGCCCACUGCAAAGCACUUAAGCUGCUCCUGGGUGCUUCUUAUUUCUGGCGGACCCCGAGCCUGUUCUUCGUCCAUAUCUGGGCCUCGUUACACCAGUCUGGGAAAGGAGGCUUGUACUGGGGGUUCCUAGAAGGGCAGCCUCUCCCCCUUUCCAUCCCGAAGUCCCUCUGCCUCUGUCUUCCCAGGACUGGGGAACCCGAUGAAGAGGAGGGAACUUUCCGCAGCUCCAUCCGCCGUCUGUCCACCCGCAGGCGGUAGAAACACCUGGCGCGAUGGAAUCCGGCCAGGUGCUGCAGCUCUGACACGGCGGUGGGAGGGAAGGAGGGAGGAAGGAAAGGCGGGAGAGGGAAGGGGCCAAGUGCCAGGGUUGGAGGGCGGCGAGGG